AAAAAAAAAGGUUCCUUGAGGUUCUAUAUAGAACCGUGGGGUUCUAUACUUGGCCAAUAGAACCUUUUACCAAAAAAAGGGUUCCAUAUAGAACCCUUGGAAGGCAAAGAACCAUUUUUAUUAAAAUGGUUCUAUAAUUCACGUUUUGUGACUGAAGUGUAAACUAAAGAUUACACAAUAAUUGCAGACCUACACAACUCAUUUACAAACCUACACAACUCAUUCACAAACCUUUUUGUGUCAAUAGGCUGUGGUCAAAUAAAGAGAGAGUCAACAAAUAGGCUAUUAAUAUUUAGUGUAUGAUUUAUUUCCUGUGAGCUUUUUUAUGCAAGUUUGUACAUUAGCAUGAAACUUACAGUGCAGUUUGCGUUUUUGGUGAAUUACCAGGUGUUUUCUUUAUUUUGUACAUUCUAAAUUGUCAAUGUUUAUGUAAUUUAACCUGAAGGGGCAUUAAAAACAAAUAAUCGCAAAAGUGCCCUCUGGUGGCGUAUAUAUGCGUUGCACCAUAAGCGAAGAUGAGCCUCGUGACGUGACAGUUUUUUUUCAAACUGAGGUGAGGAGUUCGGACUCCGGACCGGCAUUUGUUUGUACCCUGAGAUAACCAUGGUUAAUAAAUGAUCAGACACGUCACUGGCUUUAAAAUAUAAACCCCAUUGAUGCAAAAAGAUGAUGCAUGGAAUGACAAUGAGGUUUGGAACAGACUUGAAGAACAUGGAAACAUCUCUAAAUAAAAUGGCCCCAAACAUCAUCAGGAGUGCAAAAGAAGGAAGUAAAAAACAUCUCUACGCCAAUCUCAUUGGAGAGGAAACCACAGAAGGUCUGGUGAGGAAUGCUGCACUUAUGUUAUUGCCAGCAUUAUUUCAAGAAAAUCCCAGCUUCCUUGACUGUGUAAAUAGUGAACCCAAAGGUCCCACACCAACCAUAGUGUUCAACGGCUCUCCUGAUCUUCUCAAAUCUGAAACU